UACGUAGGGGGGCAACGUUGUCCGGAUUUAUUGGGCGUAAAGAGCGUGUAGGCGGCCGCACAGGUCCGUUGUGAAAACUGGAGGCUUAACCUUCAGACGUCGAUGGAAACCGUGCGGCUAGAGUCCGGAAGAGGAGAAUGGAAUUCCUGGUGUAGCGGUGAAAUGCGCAGAUAUCAGGAGGAACACCCGUGGCUAAGGCGGUUCUCUAGUACGGUACUGACGCUGAGACGCGAAAGCGUGGGGAGCGAACAGG
rnacentral:rRNA from 1 species